rnacentral:SRP_RNA from 1 species
UCGCGCUAGGCGGGGAGGUAGCGGUGCCCUGUACCCGCAAUCCGCUAUAGCGGGGUCGAAUCCCCCACCGAGGGGGCGCGCCCGUCGGGUCUGCUCCGGUCGAGCUGGCGUUGACGGCUGGGUCCUGCGCAGCUCGGGCCCGUGAACCCCGUCAGGUCCGGAAGGAAGCAGCGGUAAGCGGUCUCCCGAGGGUGCCGUGGGGAAACCUGGCCCGAGCCGGGCGGCCGGGUGAGCGCCGGCGGCCGUCAACGACGUGGGGUGCGCGA